rnacentral:rRNA from 1 species
UACGUAGGAUCCGAGCGUUGUCCGGAUUUACUGGGUGUAAAGGGUGCGCAGGCGGACUGGUAAGUCAGAGGUGAAAUCUCGUCGCUCAACGACGAAACUGCCUUUGAUACUAUCAGUCUUGAAUCCGGUAGAGAUCUGUGGAAUUCCGAGUGUAGCAGUGAAAUGUGUAGAUAUUCGGAAGAACACCAGUGGCGAAGGCAGCAGAUUGAGCCGGUAUUGACGCUCAGGCA